rnacentral:lncRNA from 1 species
GGGGGACAGAGCAAGACCCCACCUCUGAAAACAAACAAACAAACCCAACUAGUUUGAAAACUUGCUAGCUUAUAUGAUAUUUAAUUAACCUGUGCCUUCAUAAUAUCAAGAACAGCUGGCAUGAAAAAGGCUCGGGGGCAAACACAAUUGACUUGUGGUAAAUACAAGAUCAGCUGGAGGGUGUUUUGCCAAACGGCUGAAAGCCAGGAGAGCUGAGCACGCCCAGGAUGUCUAGGGGACAUGGACACACCUGUCACCUGCAAUGGCCAGAUGAGAGGCCAUCCAUGGUAAAGGGGAUGAAAACGGUCAUAACAGGGCCAGCUAUGAUUGAACACAGGGUGAGUGCCACGCCCUGUGCUGGGGCGUCUCCUCGUGUCUCAUUAGAUCCUCACUGCAACCCCAGGAGGAGGUUUUAUCUUUAUUCUGGUUCCGCCAUUAUAAAGGUGGGAGAAUUGGGGCUCAGUCCCCUCAGCUAGUAAGGAGAAGAGCUGGUCCUUGAUCUCAGGUCUGCUGGUCCCCAGAGCUCGAGUCCCAGCUUCAGCUUCUCAACUCUGAGUCUCUGAAAAGGGUUUCCAAGGAGGCGGUGGAACCGUGUGGACUCAAUGACUUCAGACAUGGUCUGGGGCUGGGAGGCCAGACCGAGCUGCUGCAGAUAUGCAGCAGUGGAGCGAUGUUCCUGAUGCGGAGGCAGUGGAUGUCUGGAGAGAGAACCGAACUGGGGGGCCAGAGAAAGAGCUGGACGAUCUUAAGCAAGCAAUUUAACCUCUCUGAGCCUCAGUUUCCCCAGCCUCUGAACGGGAAAUGAAACUAUCCUCAUUAAAGGCCUGAUGGCUCACACCAUCCAGGAGAUCUCCUCUGCUACCAACUCCCAGCAGCUGAUUCAGCGGUCCUUCAUGAACAAUAGGCAACUGAACAAGAAAAUGAGUUUAUAUUGUUCAAAAGAAAGAAGAAUGCCUCUUUUUUCCCUUGAACAAGGGAGGUGGAGACUAACAAAAGAUUCUUUGCUUGACCAAACUUUAGUCAGGCUUCUAAAUCUUCCCCUCGGCCCGUCUGUGCACUUCCUUGUGAAAUCCAGUUUUAGCAAAGAACAUUUGUAAGUCAGUUUAGCAAGAACCCACCUCCCCACCCCCAUCCUCAAUAUCUGAUCAGGUUGCUCAGUUGCCAUCAUCCCCCAGGUGAUGUCUGAUUACCCUAGCCUGUCUUCAGCAAGAAUUCUGUUAGGUCAGUUCAGCCAGAAUCUCCCUUAACUCUUAUGUUUCCUCUCAGUAAUUUUUUUAUUUUUAUUUUAUUAUUAUUUUUUUGAGACAGAGCCUCCCUCUGUCACCCAGGCUGGAGUGCAGUGGCACGAUCUUGGCUCACUGCAACUUCUGCCUCCUGAGUUCAAGUGAUUCUUGUGCCUCAGCCUCCUAAGUGGCUGGGACCAUAGGUGUGUGUUGCCAUACCCAGCUAAUUUUUUUUUUCCUCAAGACGGAGUCUUGCUCUGUCGCCAAGGCUGGAGUGCAAUGGCGCAAUCUCAGCUCACUGCAACUUCUGCCUCUUGGGUUCAAGCAAUUCUCCUGCCUCAGCCUGCCGAGUAGCUGGGAUUACAGGUGCUCGCCACCACGCCCAUCUAAUUUUUUGUAUUUUUAGUAGAGACUAAAAAUAGUCUCUAGACCAUGUUGGCCAGGCUGGUCUUGAACUCCUGACUUUGUGAUCUGCCCACCUCGGCCUCCCAAAGUGCUAGGAUUACAGGCAUGAGCCACUGUGCCCACCCGGUGCCCAGCUGAUUUUUUAUAUUUUUAGUAGAGACUGGGUUUUGCCAUGUUGCCCAGGCUGGUCUUGAACUCCUGAGCUCAGGGCAAUCUGCCUGCCUCGGCCUCUCAGAGUGCUAGGAUUACAGGUAUGAGCCACCGUGCCCGGCCUUCUUCUUAGUAAUUUUCUAUCCACUGACCCCCACACUCUUCAUGGCUAUAAAUUCCUAUAUAAUUGCAUAAAUUCUACGCAAUCUCUCUCCCCAACUCUGAGACCCCAUUGCAGUGGUACCCUAUAACUAUGUCAAUGGCCCUGAAUAAAGUCUUCCUUACCAUGCUUUAACAAGUAUUAUUGAACACAUUUUCUUUAACAACAGCAAGAAAAAAGCAAAGCAGGAAAGGGAUGUAAGAAAGAGUGAGAUGAAUAACACACUUCCAAGAGGGAGGGCUCAAAGAAGGAAAAGGAAAGAUCAAAUGAGUUCCUUAUAUCCCAAAAGAAACUGCAGACGCAACGGACCAACAAACUGAGCUCAACUGAACUCUGUAAGUUUCAAGCAGAGAUUCUGUGACAACAGAGAGAUGAAAGGCAAGUUGAGGAAACAAAUGGAAGAAAAAGAUAAAACAUUACAGUGACGGGAACCACGUUCAAAGCCACACAACCCUGAAAGCACAAGUUUGACAAAAUUGUGCAAAACAAACUGGCACAAAAAACAUGCAAGAUUGAUCGUAAAGAAGAUGUAAAUGGCAGGCAAAGGGCAACUGGUUUUUCCAAGAAGAGAACAGAAUGGAUGAAACUGAAAAGGCAUUCAAGGAACCAUGGGAAGCUGACUUUUCAGAAGGAGGACAUGGACUUCCAAUUCAACUGAGCACGUUGUAUCCCAGAAAGAGAAACAUAGACAGAGUGACCCAUGCUGAAGCAUAACUAUGGUUAGCUUCUGAACACAGUGACAAAGGCAGAAUCCUAUCAACCAAAAAGCCAAAGGAAACCAAAGCACAAAUUCCCCCACAGCAUUCAGCACCCGAGGAUGGUGGCCACAAUCUACAGUUUGGGGGAAAGGAAAUGUGGAUCAGCAGACCCUGGCACGUAUAAAGACCACACACAGAUGGCUUUACACGUGUGGGCACUCAGGGCGGACAGUUCCUAAAAGCCGUUUUUGACAGAACACUGAGGAAUCAAACUGUAGAUCUUAGGAACAAGGAACUGUGCUGAAAACGAAUGACAGUGAACACAGAAUCCAUUCUAUUUUGGAAUUAAGACCCCAGUAACUAGUGAAAUUGUGUUAUAAAACAGAGAGUAACUCUUAUAAACAUGGCCGGUGUAAAUCAUGAUGUCAUCACCAAAUCGGAAAAGGAGGUGAGGGAACGCUGGCACUUCCCUCAUCUUUCAGAGCAGGAAGUAAAACUUGAAACAUGCAGUCAUAUCAAAAUCCAAUAACCUUGAAUAAUCACUCUUUGUCUACCCUUUUCUCCCCUUGACUUUGAAGGGAUCAUUUGGUCCUUUUUAUAUUGCUUGAAUUUGUUUUUUUCAUUGAUGCAUAAUAUUCAUACAUAUUUGUGAGGUACAUAUAAUGAUAUGGUUUGGAUCUGUGUCCUCGCCCAAAUCUAUUGUAAUCCCCGGUGUUGGAGGUGGGUCUUGGUGGAAGUGAUUUGAUUAUUGGGGUGGAUUUCCCCCGUGUACUGCCCUCAUUAUAGUGAGUGAGUUCUCAUGAGAGCUGGUUGUUCAAAAGUAUGUGGCACUUCCCCCUUGCUCUUGGUCCUGCUCCUGUCACAUAAGACGCCGGCUCUCAUUCACCUUCUGCCAUGACUAGAAGCUCCCUGAGGCCUCCCCAGAAGCAGAUGCUGCCAUGCUUCCUGUACAGCCUGCAGAACUGUGAGCCAAUUAAAGCUCUUUUCCUUAAAAAUUACCCCAUCUCAGGUAUUUCCUUAUAGCAAUGUGAGAACGGCUUAAUACAUGUAAUAUUUUGUUAGGUGCAUGGAAUGUGGAGUGACCAAGUCAGGGUAUUUGGGGUAUCCAUCACCUCAAGUAUUUAUUUCUGUAUUCUGGGGAUAUUUCAAGACCUUUCUUGUAGCUAUUUUGAAAUACACCCUACAUUGUUGCUAACUAGUCACCCUCCUCUGCUAUUGAACCUUAUUCUUUCUGUCUUACUGUGUGUUUGUAUCCAUUAACCAACCUCUCUGUCCUUCUCCCCACUGACACACCCUUCCUAGUCUCUGGUAUUUAUCAUUGAAUUUGUUUCUAAUGAGCAUGAUUUUUUUUAAACAAUAACAAGAAAAGGUCAUUAUUCUUAAAACAUUUCUUUUUGAGUUUUCUCCUGUCUAUCUGGUUUGCUUCAUUAAAAAGAGAGAGAGAAGAAA